AACGCUAGCUACAGGCUUAACACAUGCAAGUCGAGGGGAAACGACAUCGAAAGCUUGCUUUUGAUGGGCGUCGACCGGCGCACGGGUGAGUAACGCGUAUCCAACCUGCCCAUCACUUGGGGAUAACCUUGCGAAAGUAAGACUAAUACCCAAUGACGUCUCUAGAAGACAUCUGAAAGAGAUUAAAGAUUUAUCGGUGAUGGAUGGGGAUGCGUCUGAUUAGCUUGUUGGCGGGGUAACGGCCCACCAAGGCUACGAUCAGUAGGGGUUCUGAGAGGAAGGUCCCCCACAUUGGAACUGAGACACGGUCCAAACUCCUACGGGAGGCAGCAGUGAGGAAUAUUGGUCAAUGGACGAGAGUCUGAACCAGCCAAGUAGCGUGCAGGAUGACGGCCCUAUGGGUUGUAAACCGCUUUUAUAAGGGAAUAAAGUGAGUCUCGUGAGACUUUUUGCAAGUACCUUAUGAAUAAGGACCGGCUAAUUCCGUGCCAGCAGCCGCGGUAAUACGGAAGGUCCGGGCGUUAUCCGGACUUAUUGGGUUUAAAGGGAGCGUAGGCCGGAGAUUAAGCGUGUUGUGAAAUGUAGACGCUCAACGUCUGCACUGCAGCGCGAACUGGUUUUCUUGAGUACGCACAAAGUGGGCGGAAUUCGUGGUGUAGCGGUGAAAUGCUUAGAUAUCACGAAGAACUCCGAUUG
rnacentral:rRNA from 1 species